rnacentral:antisense_RNA from 1 species
GGCCACCCACAUAGAACAGACAUAGAAGAUCUCCCAGCUCUUCCUGGGAGCAAAGCUGUGCAACCCAGAGCCUCAAGCUGCCGCUUUGGCAGGAAAGCCAACUCCCGCGUGCUGAAGUCACUGAAUGCACACCAGAGAGAAACCCACUUCGCAGGAAGCAAAUGCUUUGUCUCAUUUACACUUUUCGCAGGUGUUCUGGGAUGUGAAGGGGACGUGUCCAACGUCCAGGUCCUUCGUCACAGCCAUAAAGGAGGCCAUGCAUGGGACACGCCCUCAUUCCAGGCAAUGUGAGAGACGCCUUCACCUUGACCGUGUUGCUGCCUCUCGUUCCAACCGUGCUCAGAACCAGGAGCCGGUGGGGACGGAGCCACAGAGCAGCCGCUUCCCCGUGUCCACGCCCCUGUACUGUCUUCACACUCGCCAUCACCUUGCACACCCGGCGGCACCACACGACCGCCACGGAGCCUGUGGGGCCCUCCUGUGUCUCAAACCCGAGCCCUUCCCCGGCGCCCACAUCCGGGUUGUCAACUAGGAGGAGGCAGGCCUGGGGCACUGGCAGGAGGACGGGUGGGCACAGGAAAACCUGCCUGAAGAUGAGGUCACAACGAGGAAGGCAGCACAGAGGGAUGGGAGAAGAGGCCUUAAGACACAUAAUGUGAGCACCUGGAUCCAGCUGUGCCUGAAGCCCCUUGGACUUCCAGGUUAUGUAAGCCCAUUCCUUACAACCCUUUGGAUUUGUUUUCUGCCCCUUGCAAAUAAAAGACCAUGACCUUUCACGCUAUGAGCAGCUGA